rnacentral:sRNA from 1 species
AUUUGGGAAAUACAUUUUAAAUGUAACCUUAUUUUUUAUAAGUAAUUACAUAGGUAUGCCAUUAGAAAUAAAAUUUAAAUAGU